UUUCGCGAUUGUCCCGAUCGAUUUGCAUCAAAUAACAUAAAGGGCAUGAUGGUUAAAGGCAUGCAUGUACUCGCUGCACGAGUACAUUAUACCGGCCGGUACAUUCAUCAAUGUGCUUUUGUAAAUGACAAUGGGUGUUGAUCAAAUAUAAUCAGAGAGCACUUUGACGUGCCAUUAUCUAAGACGGGAAUUAACAGGCCUGGAUCACUUAGAAGAAGCAAAAUAAAGAUAAAUUGACACAUCUUCAACACUCUGGAUCUUACACCCAUCAGGAUGCAAUAACGGUACGCGCAUAGCGCUAUCAACGUGCGGGAGAAAUUCGAAACUGAAGCAGACUACAUUGCCAUUAUACAGGCGCUGCAUCAUUGAAAAUAGUGAUUAGAAUGUUCUCAGGAUAAAAAGUUUUUAGCCUAUAUGACACGGGGAUAUAUUCAUGAAAUCGUUUACCGGUUCAUCGAGAUAAAUUGAGAAUUGUAUACCAGUGAACAUAAGCUCAGGACUUCUUGGACUGUAGGCCUCCUCAUCACACUCACAUAGAAAGAGAGUGGAAUCAUUGACGAAAGAUGAAUUUCUGAUCGGAACUGCAGCUUUGCGGUAAUGGAAUAGCGGCUACAACAUCAGGGGGUGUGUCGACCGAUGCUAUCUUGAUCCAGGCAAGGUUAUUACGA